rnacentral:rRNA from 1 species
AUUGAACGCUAGCGGCAGGCUUAACACAUGCAAGUCGAGGGGUAUUGGUUUUCGGACCAAGAGACCGGCGCACGGGUGCGUAACGCGUAUGCAAUCUACCUUUUGCAGAGGGAUAGCCCAGAGAAAUUUGGAUUAAUACCUCAUAGUAUAGUACUUUGGCAUCAAGGAACUAUUAAAGUCACAACGGCAAAAGAUGAGCAUGCGUCCCAUUAGCUAGUUGGUAAGGUAACGGCUUACCAAGGCUACGAUGGGUAGGGGUUCUGAGAGGGAGAUCCCCCACACUGGUACUGAGACACGGACCAGACUCCUACGGGAGGCAGCAGUGAGGAUAUUGGACAAUGGGCGCAAGCCUGAUCCAGCCAUGCCGCGUGCAGGAUGACGGUCCUAUGGAUUGUAAACUGCUUUUAUACAGGAAGAACACU